rnacentral:lncRNA from 1 species
GUUUGUAGCUCUGUGAUACAGCACUUGCCUAGCAUGUGUGAGGACUUUUGUUUGAUUUCUCAGAACCACAUAAAUAAAUAAAAUCUAUUGUGUCUAUAUACAAUUAAUUUUUUUUUAAUUUUAAAAAGCUUGUGUUCAUUUGUUCACUGGCAGAUCCAGGUUUCAUGGGAUUUUGACAAUAUACAGUUUGGGGAAGACAAAAAACACAAACUCAUCUAAGUCUCUAGAAUGUAAGAAUAAUUACUACAAACUAAAAAUUAAAAAAAAAUUGACAAAUCCAUAAACAUCACAAAAUGCAGAAAAUAUUACUUUUAUUAGUUAAUGGUUUUGACAUUUUAACACUUUGUAAAUGCAUUUUUGACUAUAAACUCUUCAGUCAUCUCUUCAUAUGGCAAUGAUUUUAAAAUAUUCUCUAUAAAACUACAGAAAAAUAAUUUGUCUCUUUUCCAGAAUAGUUGAAAAAGUGUUAUCAUUAACAGUUUUAAAAAGUUUCUCAUUAUUAAUGAGUAAAUUUCCCAUUAAUUUUUUUUAUUUGUAGAUGGACACAAUACCUUUAUUUUGUUUAUUUAUUUUUAUGUGGUGCUGAGGAUCGAACCCAGUGUCCACACAUGUAAGACAAGCGCUUUACCACUGAACCACAACCCCAGCCCCCAAUUUUCCAUUUUUUAGGUAUAUUAAAAACAAAAAAAAUUAUAUUAAAAAUAGGAAAAUGUUUAGAUCAUCAAAUUCAGGAAAAUUUCCACAAUUUUUUUUUCAUGUAUACCAAAUUCAUUUCAGGAAAUUUCAUAUUUUCUUGUGCAGAGAUAAUCAACAACACUUGU